GACAGAGGGGGCAAGCGUUGCUCGGAAUUACUGGGCGUAAAGGGCGCGUAGGCGGGAUGGCAAGUCGGUCGUGAAAUCCUUCGGCUCAACCGAAGAGCGUCGAUCGAUACUGCUGUUCUUGAGGGUUGCAGAGGAGACUGGAAUUCCCGGUGUAGCGGUGAAAUGUGUAGAGAUCGGGAGGAACACCGGUGGCGAAGGCGGGUCUCUGGGCAAUUCCUGACGCUGAGGCGCGAAAGCGUGGGGAGCAAACAGG
rnacentral:rRNA from 1 species